UCCUUGUUUGUACAGCGCCAGAAGCAACAUGGAAAAGGAGACAUUGGCUUUCCUACGCUAGCUCUAUCUCUCACUCCUUCCACAAACUUCCGCUUCCUUUUUUCCUCCUUCUAUCCCCCCAUUUUUUUUUAUCUCCCCUCUCCCAAAACUCUCUUCCCCCCCCCCCCCCCGCUUCAUCUUCAAAACAUUAAAAUCCAUGGUCUCGGAUCGAGAGGAGGAAGAAACAAAUAAUGAGGAAUCGAUUGUUGUUGCUUCUUCGGAAGUUCCGAUUACUGUUAAAGAAGUUGUAGAAAUUGAAGUUGAAAAUGGUCAAACACGCAAGACUAGAGGACAUACAACGUUGAAGGAAAUAUAUCAACUUCCUCCUGGGCACCGUGUGAAAGUUUCAAGAAACGAUGUCGGUCAAUCUAUUGGCCAUAAGCACGUCUUUUAUCCGGUUACUUAGGCAUGGUUGCACGUAAUGCUAAUCUUUUACCAAUCAAUUAUGAGUCAUGGCGUGAAAUGCCAAAUAGGAACAAAAAUCAGAUUUUGGAUUUUGUUAAGGAGAAAUUUUCUUUAGAUGUCUCAGACGAUUAUUUGAAGC